rnacentral:lncRNA from 1 species
UGAUUUAAGGAGAGAGAAUGGUGAGAAUAUUCUCUUCCUUGACGCCGGUUAAAUCUUAGACGUAGGCUGAUCUUUAGCACAAGCUGAUGGCAUGAGUCUCCAAACAGCUUCUCUUCCAUACUCCAUCUAACGUUACUUAUCAACAAUUUUGUGUGUGUCGGACAUCCUUCCUCCAAUAGAUGUCAAAAACCCCUCCUUCUAGCGCCAAUUGUUAACGGAGGAAUCUGGUGAUAACAAGAUUCGGGGAGGGUUGCUGGAACUUGUGGUGGACGAUGACGGCGGACGACGGAGUAUGGGUGUUGAUUUUGGGUUUGGCUGAGAUCGUUCAGGGAAUCAG